GCUUCCGGAGCUAACGCGUUAAGUAGACCGCCUGGGGAGUACGGCCGCAAGGUUAAAACUCAAAUGAAUUGACGGGGGCCCGCACAAGCGGUGGAGCAUGUGGUUUAAUUCGAUGCAACGCGAAGAACCUUACCUGGUCUUGACAUCCACAGAACUUUCCAGAGAUGGAUUGGUGCCUUCGGGAACUGUGAGACAGGUGCUGCAUGGCUGUCGUCAGCUCGUGUUGUGAAAUGUUGGGUUAAGUCCCGCAACGAGCGCAACCCUUAUCCUUUGUUGCCAGCGAUUAGGUCGGGAACUCAAAGGAGACUGCCAGUGAUAAACUGGAGGAAGGUGGGGAUGACGUCAAGUCAUCAUGGCCCUUACGACCAGGGCUACACACGUGCUACAAUGGCGCAUACAAAGAGAAGCGACCUCGCGAGAGCAAGCGGACCUCAUAAAGUGCGUCGUAGUCCGGAUUGGAGUCUGCAACUCGACUCCAUGAAGUCGGAAUCGCUAGUAAUCGUGGAUCAGAAUGCCACGGUGAAUACGUUCCCGGGCCUUGUACACACCGCCCGUCACACCAUGGGAGUGGGUUGCAAAAGAAGUAGGUAGCUUAACCUUCGGGAGGGCGCUUACCACUUUGUGAUUCAUGACUGGGGUGAAGUCGUAACAAGGUAACCGUAGGGGAACCUGCGGUUGGA
rnacentral:rRNA from 1 species